rnacentral:rRNA from 1 species
UACGUAGGUGGCAAGCGUUAUCCGGAAUCACUGGGCGUAAAGGGCGCGUAGGCGGACUCUUAAGUCGGGGGUGAAAACACCGGGCUUAACUCGGUGCUUGCUUUCGAUACGGGCAGACUAGAGGUAUGCAGGGGAGAACGGAAUUCCUGGUGUAGCGGUGAAAUGCGCAGAUAUCAGGAGGAACACCGGUGGCGAAGGCGGGUCUCUGGGCCGUAACUGACGCUGAGGAGCGAAAGCAUGGGGAGCGAACAGG